GAGAGAGACAUGCGCGCAUAUCAAUAAGCGGAGGAAAAGAAACUAACAAGGAUUCCCCUAGUAACGGCGAGUGAAGCGGGAAGAGCUCAAAUUUGAAAUCUUAAAGGGUUUCCCUUUACGAAUUGUAGUUUAAAGAAGUGUUUUCUGUUGGAGUUUUGGUAAAAGUUCUUUGGAAUAGGACAUCAUAGAGGGUGAGAAUCCCGUAUUUGACCAUUACUUUCAGCUUUGUGAUACACUUUCAAAGAGUCGGAUUGUUUGGGAAUGCAGUCCAAAAUGGGUGGUAAAUUUCAUCUAAAGCUAAAUAUUGGCGAGAGACCGAUAGCGAACAAGUACCGUGAGGGAAAGAUGAAAAGAACUUUGAAAAGAGAGUUAAACAGUACGUGAAAUUGUCAAAAGGGAAGCGUUUGACACCAGUGUUGUUUUUCUGAAAAUCAAUUAAAGAACUGUUUAUGCUAAGUUGUUUAGACUUUAUCAGCUAACUGUUUAGUUUUGAGCUUUUCUUUAAUGCACUUUUCAGUUAACAAGUCAACAUCAAUUUCUUUUGCUGUAAAAAAGCUUGAGGAAGGUGGCUUGAGAUUCGUCUUAAGUGUUUAUAGCCUCUUGCCUAUGCAGUCGGAGAGAUUGAGGUCUGCAGCGUAGAUCCUUCGGGGCUAAAUGCAUUUGUGCUAAGUUAUAGCAUUUUAUAGACAACUUGUUGACUAUGAUUUGUCUUGUAGCUUACUCGCUUAUGUUAUUUUACCUACGCUUAGGAUGUUGAGCGCAUGUCUCUCUCU
rnacentral:rRNA from 1 species